GAUGAACGCUGGCGGCGUGCCUAAUACAUGCAAGUCGAGCGAACAGAUGAGGAGUUUGCUCCUCUGACGUUAGCGGCGGACGGGUGAGUACCACGUGGCUAACCUACCUAUAAGACUGGGAUAACUUCGGGAAACCGGAGCUAAUACCGGAUAAUAUAUUGAACCGCAUGGUUCAAUAGUGAAAGACGGUUUUGCUGUCACUUAUAGAUGGAUCCGCGCCGCAUUAGCUAGUUGGUAAGGUAACGGCUUACCAAGGCGACGAUGCGUAGCCGACCUGAGAGGGUGAUCGGCCACACUGGAACUGAGACACGGUCCAGACUCCUACGGGAGGCAGCAGUGGGGAAUCUUCCGCAAUGGGCGAAAGCCUGACGGAGCAACGCCGCGUGAGUGAUGAAGGUCUUCGGAUCGUAAAACUCUGUUAUUAGGGAAGAACAAAUGUGUAAGUAACUAUGCACGUCUUGACGGUACCUAAUCAGAAAGCCACGGCUAACUACGUG
rnacentral:rRNA from 1 species